GACGAACGCUGGCGGCGUGCUUAACACAUGCAAGUCGAACGAUGAAGCUGGAGCUUGCUCCGGUGGAUUAGUGGCGAACGGGUGAGUAACACGUGAGCAAUCUGCCCUUGACUCUGGGAUAACUGCGGGAAACUGUAGCUAAUACCGGAUACGACACCUUGGGGCAUCCCGGGGUGUGGAAAGAAUUUCGGUCAAGGAUGAGCUCGCGGCCUAUCAGCUGGUUGGUGAGGUAAAGGCUCACCAAGGCGACGACGGGUAGCCGGCCUGAGAGGGUGACCGACCACACUGGAACUGGAACACGGUCCAGACUCCUACGGGAGGCAGCAGUGGGGAAUAUUGCACAAUGGGCGAAAGCCUGAUGCAGCAACGCCGCGUGAGGGAUGACGGCCUUCGGGUUGUAAACCUCUUUUAGCAGGGAAGAAGCGAAAGUGACGGUACCUGCAGAAAAAGCACCGGCUAACUACGUGCCAGCAGCCGCCGUAA
rnacentral:rRNA from 1 species